rnacentral:rRNA from 1 species
CGGACGGGUGAGUAACACGUACGUGACCUGACCCGAAGUGGGGGAUACCGGUCCGAAAGGGCCGCUAAUACCGCAUGGGGCCGCCGGGGAUGCCCGGCGGGCAAAGGGACCGGGCAACUGGUCUCGCUUGGGGAGGGGCGUGCGGCCGAUUAGCUGGCUGGUGGGGUAAUGGCCUACCAGGGCUGUGAUCGGUAGCUGGGCUGAGAGGCCGGACAGCCACACUGGGACUGAGACACGGCCCAG